GAUGAACGCUAGCUACAGGCUUAACACAUGCAAGUCGAGGGGCAGCAUGGUCUUAGCUUGCUAAGGCCGAUGGCGACCGGCGCACGGGUGAGUAACACGUAUCCAACCUGCCGUCUACUCUUGGACAGCCUUCUGAAAGGAAGAUUAAUACAAGAUGGCAUCAUGAGUUCACAUGUUCACAUGAUUAAAGGUAUUCCGGUAGACGAUGGGGAUGCGUUCCAUUAGGUAGUAGGCGGGGUAACGGCCCACCUAGCCGACGAUGGAUAGGGGUUCUGAGAGGAAGGUCCCCCACAUUGGAACUGAGACACGGUCCAAACUCCUACGGGAGGCAGCAGUGAGGAAUAUUGGUCAAUGGGCGAGAGCCUGAACCAGCCAAGUAGCGUGAAGGAUGAAGGUCCUACGGAUUGUAAACUUCUUUUANACGGGAAUAAAGUAUCCUACGUGUAGGAUUUUGUAUGUACCGUAUGAAUAAGCAUCGGCUAACUCCGUGCCAGCAG
rnacentral:rRNA from 1 species